GAGAGGUGCAUGGACAUGGGCUGGUUGAUGUGAGAGGUGCAUGGACACGGUUGGGUGAUGUGAGUGGUUCAUGGACAUGGGCUGGGUGUUGUGAGAGUUGCAUGGACAUGGACAUGGUUGGGUGAUGUGAGAGGUGCAUGGACAUGGUUGGGUGAUGUGAGAGGUGCACGGACAUGGACAUGGGUGGGUGAUCUGAGAGGUGCAUGGACAUGGACAUGGUUGGAAGAUGUGAGAGGUGCACGAAUAUGGACAUUGUUGGGAGAUGUGAGAUGUGAAUGGACAUGGGUUGGGUGACGUGAGAGGUGCAUGGACAUGGACAUGUUUUGGUGAUGUGAGAGGUGCAUGGACAUAGGUCAGGUCUUGUGAGAGGUAAAUGGACAUGGAGAUGGGCUUGGUAAUGUGAGUGGUGCAUGGAGAUUGACAUUGGUUGGGUGGUGUGAGACGUGCACAGAUAUGGACAUGGGCUGGGUGAUGUGAGUGGUGUAUGGACACGGACAUGGGUUGGGUUAUGUGAGAGGUGCAUGGACAUGGACAUGGGCUGGGUGAUGUGAGUGGUGCAUGGACAUGGGUGGGUGAUGUGAGAGGUGCAUGGACAUGGGCAUGGGUUGGGUGAUGUGAGAGGUUAAUGUACAUGGACAUGGUUGGGUG
ensembl:lncRNA